rnacentral:rRNA from 1 species
UACAGAGGUCUCAAGCGUUGUUCGGAUUCAUUGGGCGUAAAGGGUGCGUAGGCGGCGCGGUAAGUCGGGUGUGAAAUCUCGGAGCUUAACUCCGAAACUGCAUUCGAUACUGCCGUGCUUGAGGACUGGAGAGGAGACUGGAAUUUACGGUGUAGCGGUGAAAUGCGUAGAUAUCGUAAGGAAGACCAGUGGCGAAGGCGGGUUGCUGGGCUGACACUGACGCUGAGGCGCGAAAGCUAGGGGAGCGAACGGG